UAAUCAUUUAUCUACAAAUUGAGUUGCAAUCUACCUUGUUUUUGCUUGUGUUUUAUGAUUCAUAUGAAGGGAUUAGCCUUCUCAGCGAGGUCAACCGAGCAGCGCACGGUUGAUUACCAAAGGAGACAUGGUAAUGCAAUUGCAGGGUUCAGAUUGUGUUGAUUGGAAGCCGGAUCGUGUGUCUAGUUUCCACCAAAUCGAGAGUUAUCAGCACCUAUCGAAAGAUCGAGACCUAGGUCCUUAGUUAGUAUCAGAGCACAAAUUGCUUGUUAGGUAUACCUUCUUUAAGAUUAUUAGUUUCUUUUAUAUAUACCUAUAACUAUAAAACUUUCACACAAAAUUAUUGCAUCCAUUACCUAGAAAUUUUGAGCCAUUGAAUUGUUCUAUUAGAUUUUGCUUUAUUGAAUUUUAUGUUGCAUGUCGUGUCGAGUACUAGUUUAGUUUUAGAUUUAUUUUUUUUAGUUUUGAGUAUUUCAUCUCUUCGUCAAUUCGGGUUUAGGGUUCAUUAGUUAAGUCGUGUGAGUUGUAUGUCAGUUUUGGAUGUAGUUUUGCAUCAUGUCGAUUGUUGUUGGGACUUAAAAAAUCGAACUAACCAUCGCCGGGUUUCCGUUUUUAUGGUUUGGAGAAGUUUUCAUCGAGCGGUUUUGGAGUUGCUCGGUUGGUAGGAUUUCCUAUUGACUUUUGUAUUUCAGUCCCUAUAAUAUUUAUAUUUACAUUUAAGUCUCUAUUUGAGAUCAUUGGCCUGUUUCUGUUGAAAAAUAAUAUAAAAAAGAAAAAAACGCAGAAAGGUGAUAUCAGAAAACAGAAAAAAUAUCGCAAAAAAAGAGAAAAGAGCAAAAAAAAAGUAAUGGUAUUAUUCUAAUUCAAUAUAUUUAUAAUGGCAUGAAUCAAAUUAAUCCGAUCUCUAUCCCAGUCUCCAAAUCCUCCGAGGGCGUCGACUCUAAUGGCUGCGCCGAGUCUGUCACGCUGCCGCCGCUGAAGACGCGAUGGGCGACGGCGACGGCGACGGCGAGCAAGCCAGUACUGCAGGCGCCGCGAUGGCGGUUUCCCAGGUCCGGCGCCGUCCUCUGAGGUCAGGAUGGUACUGCUUUUCUGACCUUGCGUGUGCCUGUAACUGUAAUCUCAAUUUCCUGUGUUUCCUUUGAAUGCGCGUGGCAUGUUUGUGGAAAUGCCUCUGUGGGAGUAGCACGCAGUACUUACGCACGCACGCACAUGUGUGCCCAUUUUGCUCUAUGCAUAUCCUUAUGCCUGCAUGUUGUGAGUUGUGCUGCUGAUUAACCACUGCAGAAUUAUUGGUUUUUUAAGUUAGAACAAUAUUUUGGUGUGUUCCAGCCUGCUGUCUGUUGUUUGCUGACCAUUGCAUUUGCUGCUGACCCAAACAAGUUUUAGGACCAAGAGGUUGAUUCUGUGUGGACUUAAUUAUGGUAAUGAAAGUAGCUGUACAUAAUAGUUGCAAUGCAGAACAGCUUUGCAGUCUUUGCACUAAUUUCAGGAAGG
rnacentral:sRNA from 1 species